rnacentral:rRNA from 1 species
ACGGGUGAGUAACACGUGAGUAACCUGCCCCUGACUCUGGGAUAAGCGUUGGAAACGACGUCUAAUACUGGAUAUGAUCGCCGGCCGCAUGGUCUGGUGGUGGAAAGAUUUUUUGGUUGGGGAUGGACUCGCGGCCUAUCAGCUUGUUGGUGAGGUAAUGGCUCACCAAGGCGACGACGGGUAGCCGGCCUGAGAGGGUGACCGGCCACACUGGGACUGAGACACGGCCCAGACUCCUACGGGAGGCAGCAGUGGGGAAUAUUGCACAAUGGGCGAAAGCCUGAUGCAGCAACGCCGCGUGAGGGAUGACGGCCUUCGGGUUGUAAACCUCUUUUAGUAGGGAAGAAGCGAAAGUGACGGUACCUGCAGAAAAAGCACCGGCUAACUACGUGCCAGCAGCCGCGGUAAUACGUAGGGUGCAAGCGUUGUCCGGAAUUAUUGGGCGUAAAGAGCUCGUAGGCGGUUUGUCGCGUCUGCUGUGAAAUCCCGAGGCUCAACCUCGGGCUUGCAGUGGGUACGGGCAGACUAGAGUGCGGUAGGGGAGAUUGGAAUUCCUGGUGUAGCGGUGGAAUGCGCAGA